AUUGAACGCUGGCGGCAUGCCUUACACAUGCAAGUCGAACGGUAACAGGUCUUCGGAUGCUGACGAGUGGCGAACGGGUGAGUAAUACAUCGGAACGUGCCCGAUCGUGGGGGAUAACGGAGCGAAAGCUUUGCUAAUACCGCAUACGAUCUACGGAUGAAAGCAGGGGACCGCAAGGCCUUGCGCGGACGGAGCGGCCGAUGGCAGAUUAGGUAGUUGGUGGGAUAAAAGCUUACCAAGCCGACGAUCUGUAGCUGGUCUGAGAGGACGACCAGCCACACUGGGACUGAGACACGGCCCAGACUCCUACGGGAGGCAGCAGUGGGGAAUUUUGGACAAUGGGCGAAAGCCUGAUCCAGCCAUGCCGCGUGCAGGAUGAAGGCCUUCGGGUUGUAAACUGCUUUUGUACGGAACGAAAAGACUCUUUCUAAUAAAGAGGGUCCAUGACAGUACCGUAAGAAUAAGCACCGGCUAACUACGUG
rnacentral:rRNA from 1 species